rnacentral:rRNA from 1 species
GGACUACCCGGGUAUCUAAUCCCGUUCGCUCCCCUGGCUUUCGCGCCUCAGCGUCAGAAGGGGUCCAGCGAGCCGCCUUCGCCACCGGAGUUCCGCUGGAUAUCAACGCAUUUCACCGCUCCACCCAGCGUUCCGCUCGCCCCUACCCCCCUCGAGGCCGGCGGUAUCCGAGGCCGUUCCCCCGUUGAGCGGGGGGAUUUCACCCCGGACCGUCCGGCCCGCCUACGCGCCCUUUAAGCCCAGUGAUUCCGAACAACGUUCGCACGGUUCGUCUUACCGCGGCUGCUGGCAC